rnacentral:rRNA from 1 species
CCUUCGGGUUAGUGGCGGACGGGUGAGUAACGCGUGGGAAUCUGCCCUCAGGAGGGGGAUAACGGCUGGAAACGGCCGCUAAUACCCCAUAUGCCGAGAGGUGAAAUGAAUUUCGCCUGAGGAUGAGCCCGCGUCUGAUUAGCUAGUUGGUGGGGUAAGAGCCUACCAAGGCAUCGAUCAGUAGCUGGUCUGAGAGGAUGAUCAGCCACUCUGGGACUGAGACACGGCCCAGACUCCUACGGGAGGCAGC